rnacentral:rRNA from 1 species
UGGGGAAUUUUGGACAAUGGGCGCAAGCCUGAUCCAGCCAUGCCGCGUGUCUGAAGAAGGCCUUCGGGUUGUAAAGGACUUUUGUCAGGGAAGAAAAGGCUGUUGCUAAUAUCAGCGGCUGAUGACGGUACCUGAAGAAUAAGCACCGGCUAACUACGUGCCAGCAGCCGCGGUAAUACGUAGGGUGCAAGCGUUAAUCGGAAUUACUGGGCGUAAAGCGAGCGCAGACGGUUACUUAAGCAGGAUGUGAAAUCCCCGGGCUCAACCUGGGAACUGCGUUCUGAACUGGGUGACUAGAGUGUGUCAGAGGGAGGUAGAAUUCCACGUGUAGCAGUGAAAUGCGUAGAGAUGUGGAGGAAUACCGAUGGCGAAGGCAGCCUCCUGGGAUAACACUGACGUUCAUGCUCGAAAGCGUGGGUAGCAAACAGGAUUAGAUACCCUGGUAGUCCACGCCCUAAACGAUGUCAAUUAGCUGUUGGGCAACUUGAUUGNUCAGUAGCGUAGCUNACGCGUGAAAUUGACCGCCUGGGGGAGUACGGUCGCAAGAUU